rnacentral:rRNA from 1 species
UACGUAGGGUGCAAGCGUUAAUCGGAAUUACUGGGCGUAAAGCGUGCGCAGGCGGCUUUGCAAGACAGAUGUGAAAUUUCGGAGCUUAACUCCGAAACUGCAUUCGAUACUGCCGUGCUUGAGGACUGGAGAGGAGACUGGAAUUUACGGUGUAGCGGUGAAAUGCGUAGAUAUCGUAAGGAAGACCAGUGGCGAAGGCGGGUCUCUGGACAGUUCCUGACGCUGAGGCACGAAGGCCAGGGGAGCAAACGGG